UACGUAGGGUGCGAGCGUUGUCCGGAAUUACUGGGCGUAAAGAGCUCGUAGGCGGUUUGUCACGUCGUCUGUGAAAUCCUCCAGCUUAACUGGGGGCGUGCAGGCGAUACGGGCAGACUUGAGUACUACAGGGGAGACUGGAAUUCCUGGUGUAGCGGUGAAAUGCGCAGAUAUCAGGAGGAACACCGGUGGCGAAGGCGGGUCUCUGGGUAGUAACUGACGCUGAGGAGCGAAAGCAUGGGUAGCGAACAGGAUUAGAUACCCU
rnacentral:rRNA from 1 species